rnacentral:rRNA from 1 species
CGCGUGUACUGGUCCGGCCGGGCCUUUCCUUCUGGAGAUCCCCAUGCCCUUCACUGGGUGUGUGGGGGAACCAGGACUUUUACUUUGAAAAAAUUAGAGUGUUCAAAGCGGGCCUUUGCUCGAAUACUUUAGCAUGGAAUAAUAAAAUAAGACGUGCGGUCCUAUUUUGUUGGUUUCUAAGACCGCUGUAAUGAUUAAUAGGGAUAGUCGGGGGCAUCAGUAUUCAAUUGUCAGAGGUGAAAUUCUUGGAUUUAUUGAACACUAACUACUGCGAAAGCAUUUGCCAAGGAUGUUUUCAUUAAUCAGUGAACGAAAGUUAGGGGAUCGAACACUAUCAUAUACCGUGGUAGUGUUAACCGUAAACUAUGCCGACUAGGGAUCGGGCGAUGUUUCUUUCUUGACUCGCUCGGCACCUUACGAGAAAUCAAAGUUUUUGGGUUCUGGGGGGAGUAUGGUCGCAAGGCUGAAACUUAAAGAAAUUGACGGAGGGGCACCCCCCGGCGUGGAGCCUGCGGGUUAAUUUGACUCAACACGGGGAAACUCACCAGGUCCAGAUGAAAUAAGGAUUGACAGAUUGAGAGCUCUUUCUUGAUUUUUCAGGUGGUGGUGCAUGGCCGUUCUUAUUUGGUGGAGUGAUUAGUCGGCUUAAUUACGAUAACGAACGAGACCUCAACCUCCUAAAUAGCCAGCCUAGCAUUGGCUGUCGCCGGCUUGUUAGAGGGACGAUCGG